rnacentral:tRNA from 1 species
GGGUCUGUAGCUCAGUUGGUUAGAGCGCACCCCUGAUAAGGGUGAGGUCGGUAGUUCCAGUAUACUCAGACCCACCA